GUUGAGACACCUGUUCCCUUAUGAUCACCGAAGUUAAGCAAUAUUGAGCCUGGUCAGUACUUAGAUGGGUGACCGUUUGGAAAUACCAGGUGCUGUAA